AUUGAACGCUGGCGGCAGGCCUAACACAUGCAAGUCGAACGGUAGCACAGAGAGCUUGCUCUCGGGUGACGAGUGGCGGACGGGUGAGUAAUGUCUGGGAAACUGCCCGAUGGAGGGGGAUAACUACUGGAAACGGUAGCUAAUACCACAUAACGUCGCAAGACCAAAGUGGGGGACCUUCGGGCCUCACACCAUCGGAUGUGCCCAGAUGGGAUUAGCUAGUAGGUGGGGUAAUGGCUCACCUAGGCGACGAUCCCUAGCUGGUCUGAGAGGAUGACCAGCCACACUGGAACUGAGACACGGUACAGACUCCUACGGGAGGCAGCAGUGGGGAAUAUUGCACAAUGGGCGCAAGCCUGAUGCAGCCAUGCCGCGUGUAUGAAGAAGGCCUUCGGGUUGUAAAGUACUUUCAGCGGGGAGGAAGGCGGUGAAGUUAAUAACUUCACCGAUUGACGUUACCCGCAGAAGAAGCACCGGCUAACUCCGUGCCAGCAGCCGCAGUAA
rnacentral:rRNA from 1 species